AUUUGAGUCGCUUCACUGUUGCCUCCAUCAUCAGAACCGUCAGGGAGGAAAACAGGACACAGAGACGACCACCUGGUGGAGGCAGGUUAAGGCUUUUGUCGGAGGGGCAAGAGAGGGAACUUGUAAACAUGGUAAUUGCAAAUAAUGUAAUCCGCCUGCAAGAGAUUCAAAGGAGAGUGAUUGAGGAUGAUCAUCUUUUUCGAGGCAUAAAUGCCAUCAGCCUCUCCACAAUUGACCGCAUCCUCCGAAAGAAUCAAUUCCGGAUGAAACAGGCAUACCGAGUCCCUUUCGAACGAAACUCUGACAGAGUGAAAAACCAACGUGUGGAAUAUGUUCAGAGAAUCUUUGAGAUUGAAGGACGGCCUGUUCCCCAUGAAAUAAUCUUUGUGGAUGAGGCAGGUUUUAACCUGACCAAAAGAAGGAAAAGGGGGAGGAACAUAAUUGGCCAUCGGGCUAUUGUAAAUGUCCCUGGUCAGCGUGGAGGGAAUGUCACUAUGUGCGCA
ensembl:lncRNA